GAAAGCCUUGUUUCGUCCAACAACUCAAGCAGGAAGAUAUUUCGGAAGGUGGACCUGGCUUGACGGAUACCGCUGAUGUGAAUGUCAAUUAUUUAGGCUACAACCCCGACAACGAGUUCAGACAGCAACUGGAUGAAGAUGGAGUUGUGAAUUGAGACUGGUCAUCAGCAACUAAAACAGAUAAUUGAUUGAUACCGAAAAGGUGAAAAAACUCAUGCUAAACCAUCUGCAAGCACACCACAAUAACUCGAUGACAAACUUUGGGCAGCAGUACGAACUAUUUUCGCAUCUGUGUUAUCCGCUGGGGAAAAGACAGGUUUCACACAGAAGCUGAAAAAGUUAUUCUUGAAAUUGUUACCUAAAAGAAAAAAACAAAAGGCAGAGACAGCAGCAGAUAAACUAGCAGCAGCAGCAGCAGCAAUAUACGGUAGGAAUAGCUGACAAUGUGGAAAAUCCUUGCAAUGUUACUAUUACUGUUGUUGGUCACAAGGGAGUUGGAAAGCUUUGUUUCGUCCAACAACUCAAGCAGGAAGAUAUUUCGGAAGGUGGACCUGGCUUGACGGAUACCGCUGAUGUGUAUGUCAAUUAUUUAGGCUACAACCCCGACAACGAGUUCAGACAGCAACUGGAUGAAGAUGGAGUUGUGAAUUGAGACUGGUCAUCAGCAACUAAAACAGAUAAUUGAUUGAUACCGAAAAGAUGAAAAAACUCAUGCUAAACCAUCUGCAAGCACACCACAACAACUCGAUGACAAACCUUGGGCAGCAGUACGAACUAUUUUAGCAUCUGUGUCAUCCGCUGGUGAAAAGACAGGUUUCACACAGAAGCUGAAAAAGUUAUUCUCGAAAUCGUUACCUAAAAGAAAAAACAAAAGGUUGAUGUGCCCGGACUGGGGGCAGAGGAGCG
rnacentral:lncRNA from 1 species